rnacentral:rRNA from 1 species
UACGGGGGGGGCAAGCGUUGUUCGGAAUUACUGGGCGUAAAGGGCUCGUAGGUGGCCAACUAGGUCAGACGUGAAAUCCCUCAGCUUAACUGGGGAACUGCGUCUGAUACUGGAUGGCUUGAGUUUGGGAGAGGGACGCGGAAUUCCAGGUGUAGCGGUGAAAUGCGCAGAUAUCAGGAGGAACACCGGUGGCGAAGGCGGGUCUCUGGGCCGUAACUGACGCUGAGGAGCGAAAGCGUGGGGAGCGAACAGG